AUUUUUCCUUUUUGAAAGCUGGGAAACCCAGCACAGCCUUUGGGCAUUCAGAGUUAGUGUUUUUUCCGAGAUCAAAAACGUUAUCCUUCUUUUAUGACUUGUGGUGACGAUCGGUCGGUCGGACGCUGGCGGAUAAGCGGGGCGCUUAAGACGCCCCGCUUAUCCUUGAAAGUGAAAGUGUCAGAUGGUUUCCCGUAAAUGGGAAAAAGUGAAAGUGAAAAGGCAUGUAUGUAAGACAGAUAAGUAUCACUUAAGUAUCAUUCUUCAUGUGCUGCUGAUUCAACGCCACACUCUUUUCCACUUUGGACGAUAAACGAUAUCAAUAUGGGCGGAGUGAUUUCGUGCUUCAAUGCAGAUCGCAUACCAACUUGGAGAACGUUGGAUUGGGGUCCUGCCGCGUUCCGGAACCGUUCAAAACGACGAAUACAGUUGGGCCAAUUACUGAAGUCCGAGAAGUCAAAGUUAUCCGCAAAAAAAAUGAACAGCUAGAGUGGCUGAAGUCAUACCAUCUUGGAAGUGGCGACCCCAAGCAUCUUAGAGUCCUUCUGUGUGGCCCUUCUGGAAGUGGAAAAUCCAGUUUCAUAAAUUCUGUUGCCAGUACUUGUCAAAACCAGUAUACCGAACCUGCAGAGGUCGGAACCGGCAUUGGAACUUUCACCCUCAAAUACAAAACACAUCGAAUCCAAAGAGACGGGCCAGGAGGACAACAUUACCCGUUUGUCUUCAAUGACCUCAUGGGCUUGGAAGAGGAAAGAGGAAUCUUACUGGAGGACAUUAAACUGGCCAUGAAGGGACAUGUGAGAGAAGAUUACAAGUUCGAUCAAGAGCAAGCUUUGGAUGACUCAAAUGAUUCCUACAUCAAAAAACCCACUUUAAAUGACAAAGCACACAUUUUGGUCUUUGUUGUUGCUGUCGACUUCUUUGAGGUGGCAGGCCCAAAGAUUAUUCAGAAAAUGGCUGAGGUCAAACUAGCAGCCAGAGACCUUGGGAUUCGAACAAUGGCCAUUCUAACGAAAAUUGAUGAGAAAUCUUCCCCUCUCGUUAAAAAAGACCUUAAAUAUGUCUACAGCAGCAAGUUCAUCAAGAAUGCGGUGGAGAACCUCAGUCAGAACGUGGGUUUCCCAGUUUCCUGCAUCUUUCCCCUGAAGAACUACCAUGCAGAAAAUGGCUUGAAGGAUGAAGUGGAUAUUCUGAUUCUAAGUGCACUGAGAAAGAUCAUUGAUCUUGGAAAUUACUGUGAAAAUGAUUCCAAUGUGGAGCUAAUGACCAAACAGCCAACAACAUAAAUCAUCAAUCUAAACGUAUAGUAAGUUCGUUCUGUCAUUAAGAUGCAACAUUUAAAAUAUAAAUUGCCACAUGCAGAGGCAGGCAAAGUCAACCUGAAACAUAUUCUCAAAGCGUAUUCAAGUAAGUAAUAGCUGACGGAUGGCGAUGCCUUUUGUAAUCAUGCAAGCAUUCAUUUUGCCUACAGUGCCUGUGAGCUAAUGAUUGAAUUCAUGGGAGUGUUGGACUCAUGUUUGUUCUGCUUUUUGGCGCACUGCGGUGAUCUAAUAGAACGCCUACGUUCUUUGACUUUUGUAAAGAUUAAACAGUCAAAAUAAAUAUUAAACCCUCCAAAAUAUCGUACAAUGAUCCAUCAUUUAAAAAAAGGGCAUAUAUCAGGUAAGUCAAAGAUUUAUUAAAAACAAGAAACAGGACAGAACACAGAUAGAUUAACAAGAGACAUGUAUUUACGACUUCUACCUUAAAGUAUAUUAGGUAACAUUUCCACAUUAAAAUAUCAAACAUUACUAGAACUGUUAUAUAUGUUUUAUGAUGAUCUUACUUCAUCCUAAAUGUUUACAACAAUGUUCAAACCCAGGGAAAUCUGUUUAAUUAAAGUAAAAGUACAUUUGAACGCAUGUCAACAGAGUCAUAUGCACUUUACCUUCUAAGACCCGGGAAAACAUAUAAAAACAAUAAUCCAGUAAAAUAUGAUGUUUCAAUAGUGAUAGCUUAUUACGAUGUGCUACUCAGAGAAAUACGUGCACUCCUCCAAGGUAACGCAGUGUUUCCAACAAUUUCGGAAAGUUAUUCUUUAGUUUAUCCGUUUGAGAGACGUGGUAAGGGACUAGAAAUAACUUAAAUAUAAAAAUAAUUAGGUGAGUGCUGCAUGAGAUGCUCUGCGACUCGAUAGGUAGAUUGAUGAACACAGAGACCGUCAGCAACACGCAAGCUCUGUGUUCGCCAAUCGCCAAGGAAAAAAAUCCUGUUGUUUUUACAAAAAAAAAAAAUUAACAACUUUACAGAACAAGCUGUACAUUUUACAGUUUAAAACUAUAGUAAUUUACAUUACACCCCUAAAUAUAACAGCUCUUUUCUGCUGAAUUAACAUGCCGAAGCUGCUGUUAAAACAAAUUAUUUCUGUUAUAUUCACAUUUAAUUGUUGCAUAUAUAACAGCUCUUUUCUGCUGAAUUAACAUGCCGAAGCUGCUGUUAAAACAAAUUAUUUCUUUGAUAUUUACAUGCAAUUGUUGCAUAUAUAACAGCUCUUUUCUGCUGAAUUAACAUGCCGAAGCUGCUGUUAAAUCAAAUUAUUUCGUGAUAUUUACAUGCAAUUCUUGUAAAUUGUACGUUUAUGCCCAUUCAAUUUGACAAAAAAUAUCAACCUAAUAACCUUUUUUGACUGUAAAAGUCUCAUUAUAAAGCAGUUGUUUUAACCAAAUUUCAUUGACAUUUUUACUGAAAAGUUUUUUUCAAUAUAGUGUCUUAUGUAGUAUUGAUUACAAGAUUCAAGAUUCAAGAUGCUUUAUUUAUCCCGAGGGAAAUUACUGUGCAACAGUUACAAUACAAAGGUGGGAAAGUAAUACAGGGUUAGAGUCAAAAUAGAUAAAAUAGAUGGAAAUAAAAUAAGUACAAACUAAAUAAGUGAAAAGGAGCGAUUGGAUAAAAGUUGUAUUAGUGGUAAAAGUGGUAAAGUGAUAAAUAUUAUAGCAACAAUUGUUGGCAGCAUAAAUUAACUAAAGUGAUGAAGUGAAAAUUGAAAAUUGGGUAAAAAUAAAUAAAUAAAUUGGGUAAAAAUAAAUAAAUAGUUGACGUUAGUUACAAAGUUUUAUAGUAAAAUCAACACCUAAAAAUACUGCAAAUGUAUUCAUUACAAAGGGCAUAAAAACUAGUUUUGACUAGUUUUGAGUAUUAAUCUCAGUGAAACUGCCUAAAAAUAAUUUUUCACCACUUGCUAGGAUUAGAUCUCAGCAGAAUACUAACUUUUCUAUACAUUACAGGCGGAUUGAAUAAUAUUUCAGACAAUUGUCUUUUAAACUGCAGUGCCAUCUUUUCUAAAUGUUUGCCCUUUACAAAGAAUGUGUAAAACAGCGUUAACAGAUUAGGCAUUCAAAAUGUCUAUGUUAGUGCACUUAAAGAGGAAAUAAAUCUAAUAACUUGCCUUUCCAGGAAUUUAUUAAUCUCACAGAAGGUAACAUUUUACAUUUCCAAACAUACUCAUAAUGUGCUUCACAAGCAAAAUAAAUGACAUUUGAACAAUUAUUUGCCAUAUUGUUGGUACUGAAAGAGGAACGAUAAAGGCAGACUUUCCGACAAGUAGAAUUCUUAACACCCUUCAAAGAUGGAGUCAGCAAUUCUGGAGAAUACUGUUUGUCGAAAUCAUUGAAUAUAUCCUCACGAUCUGCUAUCUGUCCGUACUGUGUGUGCACCGAAAAAUAAAUCUGGUGUUAAUACAAAGCCCAGGUUCUGUCAAUUUGUAACUUAUAGUUAAAAACAUAUAACUAUGUAGAUAAAGGGUAUGUAAACAAAGGGGGCCCACUGUAGCUAGCAACAUGCUAUUGGCUUGUGGUCAUCAAGAAAUACAUUAGCCAGUUUUCAAGUAACACUAUGUAUAUAUACAGAUAAGAUGAACUUUGAGUGUACAGUGAUAAUUUAGAGGAAAAACUAAGGUCACGUUCACCUUUUCAAAUGGUAGUGCAUUUUUAGAAUAGCUUCUUAAUUUUCUAAUUAGAAAUAAUAUAAAAAAUUGCCACUUUCUGAAAACGAGCUAUUAUGCUACACAUACAAGUGAGGCAACACAAAAACAAAACUUCACAAUUGCAUACAAAUUCUGUAACAAUUUGUCUGUAACUUUUACUGAGUAAGUAGAUUGACGAACAGAGCUUGCGUGUUGCUGACGGAUGUCAUAAUCUCUGUGCUCGUCAAUCUACCUAUGAAGUCUUAAAAACAAAGUGGCGUCGACGGGUGAUCUACUGAUGGUAUUGUGUUUAUAAAAUGUCCUUUAUAAUAAACAAUCACUACACUUACAAAGUUCUCAAUGCCUCGUUUUUAUGUUAAGACAAUUUGACGACGCCUACGGUUUUCUUGUUUAAGAAAAAACUGGCAAAA